CCACUAUGGGACAACUGCAGCUGCGUUUAUAGUCAUAUUAUACCUACGUAGUGAGCUGUGUUGUGUACUUGUGUAGCGCAUUCUUACCGUCACCGUGUUCAGCCGUGUUCCCGCCGUGCUCCCGCGUGUACGUUCACUUUUGCGAUUUCUGUCAUUUACAUUCCACAUUAUAUAAUAUUAUAUUUUGUUUAAAUUUGUAUGACAUAAUUUGUGUGACCAUGACGUCUUGUAAUUGUUCGACGAUCAUUAAACAAAUGCAAGCUGUAUACUCCAGCCGCUCCACGUCUCCCGUAAAAAAAAAACCCAAAGGGAAAGAAUACUUGCAAAAUACUAUACAGGCUACAUCAGAAGAAUAUAAAGCUGCAUUAAAAUUCUUGGAAAAUUAUAUUGGGAGAGCCAAAACUGAAGUAUUUGAAAAAAAAAUGCAAGACCCUCUUCUUGAAGUUGAAAAUAUGCCUUCUUUGUUUGAUUUUUGGGUUAACACUAAAACAAAUACUGAACAUCUUAACAUUGAAGAUAUGAUGGUUGAAAUGACAUAUGAUCUCGCAUAUAAUAAUAGUAAUUAUUAGUUGUAUGAAUGUGAUUUGGAAGUUUUGGAGCAUUGUAACAUUAUCUUGGAAUCUGAACAACCUAGUACUGGAAGUACAUGCACUGAAAAUAAUAUUAAUUUAACAACUGAAGAUGUGGAAAUUAAUAAUUUAGAUAAAGUUUUUAAAGAAAAUGAGACUGGUAGUAUUAUAUUUGAAACUGUAAACAAAACUGAAUAUACAGUAGAUGCAAAUGUAUUACCUAUGUGAAACUAUAAAUGAGACUGAAAAUAUGUGUGGAUCUGAUAAUAUAUGUGAAACUGUUGAUAAGACUGAACAUAAUAUGAAAGAAACUGAUUUAUGUGAUAUAGAAACUAAAAAUAUAAUAGAUUGUAAUGUUGAAGAUACUGAUUGUAUAAUACGUGAGGGAGUUAUAGAAAUUAAUAUAGUUGAUAAAUGUUUAAGUGAAACCAGCAAAAUAGCAUCAAGAGUAAAUAAAUCUAAUUUGAGUCCUCCAACAAUUGAUGAAUCGUGAAGCAAACACUUGUUUUGACCAAAACAUGACACUAAACAGAAACCAAAUAGAAGUCAAGUAAAGUUAUCAUUUGCUGUUACAGCAAUUGAGUAAAGGAAAUAUCAUGUCAAUAAAGAACAGGAAAAACUAAGAAAAGAAUAAGAACUUACACAAAAACGAAAACGUAGAGAGGAAAUAUAAAAAGAAAAAUGUCUUAAAGUUGCUAAAAAAAACCACAAAAACAGUAACCAAGAAAAUCAAAAUGUACAAAAAAAAUUAAACCAGGAUUGAGUCUAACUGCGGGGUCUGAAGAUGAUGUAUAUACUUUAAAGAACCUUACACUUCAUGGAUCAAAUGUUGUGAGUGGGCCCAUGAACUCUAUGUUGGUUCUGAAAAUACGGAUGUUAAAAUUUGUGAUUUCUGUCGUUAAAUUUUUUAUUUUACUUACAAUUGUUAAUUUUUAAAUACUAAAUAUACAGCUACUGUUAGGUCUAGUUGUAAAAUUGUUACUUUCCUACACAGAUAUAUAUUUUAAUGGUUACCAAGUUGGUUUUUAUUAAUUUAUUUACUCAAGUCAUAAGUUAUGUUUGUUUAAAAUUUGUAUUCUAAUCCUGUUACAAAGUUUGUUAUAAGGUAUAUAUGUAUAUAUUUGAGUUAUUUGUUAGUUUUUAAUUAAGGUACUACAUAUUAUUCAUAAAUUAUUUAAAUACAAAUUGUCUUAUCAAAUAUUUUUAGGCGUUCAUACACUGGGUAUUGAGUGUUCAUAGACUAGCAUUCUGUGUUCAAUCACUAGGAUUUCACUUAUUUUUUCAAAUAAACUAAUAUAAUUAAUAGUAAUUUGGUUUUCUUAAUGUUACCUAGUUAAAAACUAAACAGUUACCAAUCUUAAAAUCUAAAAUGUGUAAAUGUGAUACCUACUAAAAUCCAAUUCAUGAAUACAUUUUGAUUACAAACAAAUUUAUAACCGUCCAAUCACUUGUUCAAUACAUCAAAAAGGAUAUUAUAUUAAUAUAUUAACAGUUAACAUUUCAUAUACAUUUUACCAGUACCUAAUAAGUGCUCGACCAACUAAAUUUUACAUAAUAAUAUAUUUUAUGUUAUACGUAUAUAGGUAAUAUAAGCACAUUUAUAUUAUCCUUAGUAAUGGAUGGUGUUAAAUUUGAAUUCAAUGAUAUAAUAUCAUUGUAUAAGAAAAACGAUUCUGAGCGAAAACGGUCAGUCAGCCUAUGAUUUUACCAAGUAUAUUUGAUGAUAUUAUUGUGAAUAAAGUAAUUUAUAUAUAACCUAUUUACGUGGAGCCUUGUUUUAAAUUUUCAAUCCUUAGCCAUAAAAGUUAAAAAUUUAUAAAUUUUUAACCACAAAAUAAUUAAUAAAUUAUAAAUUUGAUAAAUGUUGUCAAAAUUUGAACUUUAAAUGCUUAUAAAAAAAAAUUGUGCCUAUGUAUUUUUAAUAUUUUUCAACUGCUAUUAGAACGAUAUAUCAGGAGCCUUAAUUUUCACGCUUUUUUACCCAACAAAUAAAAAUUCAUUGAUAUUUAUAGAAAAAAAAACUAAAAAAAUUGAAAACUGACAAUGUCCGUAAACAGCUCAAAAAGAGUCAAAAUAUUUUCAACAUUUUAUGGUGUAUAGAAAAUGCUAAUAUAAACAUUCAGUGAAAUUUUCAAGUAUCUACAGUCAUUCGUUUUUUAAUUACAAUAAAAUAAGAAAAUUGUUACAUGAGAAAUCGAAUAAAUAUCAAAUGUUGUAAAAAUAUAAAUUUCAGACGCUCAUAAAAAUUUAAUUUAAGUUUCUUCUAGACAUUUUUUUUUUGAUA